UACAGAGGGGGCGAGCGUUUGUUCGGAAUUACUGGGCGUAAAGGGCGCGUAGGCGGCCCGCUAAGUCGAACGUGAAAUCCCCAGGCUCAACCUGGGAACUGCGUCCGAUACUGGCAGGCUUGAAUCCGGGAGAGGGAUGUGGAAUUCCAGGUGUAGCGGUGAAAUGCGUAGAUAUCUGGAGGAACACCGGUGGCGAAGGCGGCAUCCUGGACCGGUAUUGACGCUGAGGCGCGAAAGCUAGGGGAGCGAACGGGG
rnacentral:rRNA from 1 species